rnacentral:rRNA from 1 species
GACGAACCGAGCGAACGUUGUUCGGAAUCACUGGGCUUAAAGGGCGCGUAGGCGGGGUCAUAAGUCUGUGGUGAAAUCCUCCGGCUCAACCGGAGAACUGCCUCGGAUACUGUGGCUCUCGAGGGUGGUAGGGGUAUGCGGAACUAUCGGUGGAGCGGUGAAAUGCGUUGAUAUCGAUAGGAACUCCGGUGGCGAAGGCGGCUCACUGGACCGGUACUGACGCUGAGGCGCGAAAGCGUGGGGAGCAAACAGG